CAGUGGACGAGCAACCAGAUGGCGAGUUUCACUCGGUUCAUGAUGACUGGAGUGCGAGAGGAACCACUCCCAGAGCCACCUCAUCCGGGGCCGACGCCAGUGUUCCCGUCCAAGGAGGAGUUCUAUAUCAUGUACAAGCGUCAGCGUCAGUUGACCCCGGGAUUGGGAGAAUCCGGGAACGACACUCCUUGUGGUACGCCGAUGCACCCCGGUCGCCAUUCUCCUGGUGCUUCUGCCGAACCUCGGCAUUUUUC